UUAAAUCUUUGAUGAAAGACUGUAAAUCUUUUUAACACUUUUAAU
rnacentral:tRNA from 1 species